rnacentral:rRNA from 1 species
UGCAAGUCGAGCGAACUGAUUAGAAGCUUGCUUCUAUGACGUUAGCGGCGGACGGGUGAGUAACACGUGGGCAACCUGCCUGUAAGACUGGGAUAACUUCGGGAAACCGAAGCUAAUACCGGAUAGGAUCUUCUCCUUCAUGGGAGAUGAUUGAAAGAUGGUUUCGGCUAUCACUUACAGAUGGGCCCGCGGUGCAUUAGCUAGUUGGUGAGGUAACGGCUCACCAAGGCAACGAUGCAUAGCCGACCUGAGAGGGUGAUCGGCCACACUGGGACUGAGACACGGCCCAGACUCCUACGGGAGGCAGCAGUAGGGAAUCUUCCGCAAUGGACGAAAGUCUGACGGAGCAACGCCGCGUGAGUGAUGAAGGCUUUCGGGUCGUAAAACUCUGUUGUUAGGGAAGAACAAGUACGAGAGUAACUGCUCGUACCUUGACGGUACCUAACCAGAAAGCCACGGGUAACUACGUGCCAGCAGCCGCGGUAAUACGUAGGUGGCAAGCGUUAUCCGGAAUUAUUGGGCGUAAAGCGCGCGCAGGCGGUUUCUUACGUCUGAUGUGACUGCCCACGGCUCAAGCGUGGAGGGUCAUUGGAAACUGGGGAACUUGAGUGCAGAAGAGAACAGCGGAAUUCCACGUGUAGCGGUGACAUGCGUACAGAUGCGGAGGAACACCAGUG